rnacentral:rRNA from 1 species
CCUACGGGUGGCAGCAGUGAGGAAUAUUGGGCAAUGGAGGCAACUCUGACCCAGCCAUGCAGCGUGCGUGAAGAAGGUUUUCGGAUUGUAAAGCUCUUUCGGAUGUGACGAUGAUGACGGUAGCGUCUAAAGAAGACCCGGCUAACUGCGUGCCAGCAGCCGCGGUCAUACGAAGGGGGCAAGCGUUGUGCGGGAUUUCUGGGCGUAAAGGGAGUGUGAGCGGUUUAGUAAGAUAGUGGUGAAAUCCCAGGGCUGAACUUUGGAAUUGACAUUAUAACUAGUAGACUAGAAUUACAGAGAGGAUAGUGGAAUACCAAGUGAAGAGGUGAAAUUCGUAGAUAUUGGGUAGAACACCAGUGGCGAAGGCGACUAUCUGGCUGUACAUUGACGCUGAGGCUCGAAAGCAUGGGGAUCAAACAGGAUUAGAUACCCGAGUAGUC